rnacentral:rRNA from 1 species
UACGGGGGGGGCAAGCGUUGUUCGGAAUUACUGGGCGUAAAGGGCGUGUAGGCGGCCAACUAAGUCCGACGUGAAAUCCCCAGGCUUAACCUGGGAACUGCGUCGGAUACUGGAUGGCUUGAAUUCGGGAGAGGGAUGCAGAAUUCCAGGUGUAGCGGUGAAAUGCGUAGAUAUCUGGAGGAAUACCGGUGGCGAAGGCGGCAUCCUGGACCGAGAUUGACGCUGAAGCGCGAAGGCUAGGGGAGCGAACGGG